rnacentral:rRNA from 1 species
GACGAACGCUGGCGGCGUGCUUAACACAUGCAAGUCGAGCGGUAAGGCCUUUCGGGGUACACGAGCGGCGAACGGGUGAGUAACACGUGGGUGAUCUGCCCUGCACUUCGGGAUAAGCCUGGGAAACUGGGUCUAAUACCGGAUAUGACCUCCUAUCGCAUGGUGGGUGGUGGAAAGAUUUAUCGGUGCAGGAUGGGCCCGCGGCCUAUCAGCUUGUUGGUGGGGUAAUGGCCUACCAAGGCGACGACGGGUAGGCCGACCUGAGAGGGUGACCGGCCACCACUGGGACGUGAGACACGGCCCACGACUCCUACGGGAGGCAGCAGUGGGGAAGUAAUUGCACAAUAGGGCGGAAAGCCUCGAUGCAGCGACGCCGCGUGA